GGGAAGUAAGGAACAAUGGGGUUCGGAGGUGGCGGUGUUGGGUAGUUUUUGUACGUCGGUGGAGGGUAGUACAUGCCGCCAAUGACACCACCAGGCGGUGGGGGAGCAUAGUUGUUGUUGUUGUUACCCCCGGAUUGAGCUGGUGGUGGUGGAGAGUAGUAGUAGCUGCCACCACCACUAGAGGUGGGUGGAGAUGGAGGUGGUGGGCAGUAGUUGGGGUUAUUAGCGGGAGGAGGUGGCGAAGAUGCAGGCGGCGGUGGAGACGGUGGCGGCGGAGAUGGGACUUGCUGCUGGCAAGGGGUGCAUUUUAUGGGAUCGGUACUAGUUUCUUCUGAAAGUACUGAACUC
rnacentral:lncRNA from 1 species